AGCGAACGCUGGCGGCAGGCUUAACACAUGCAAGUCGAGCGGGCGUAGCAAUACGUCAGCGGCAGACGGGUGAGUAACGCGUGGGAACAUACCUUUUGGUUCGGAACAACACAGGGAAACUUGUGCUAAUACCGGAUAAGCCCUUACGGGGAAAGAUUUAUCGCCGAAAGAUUGGCCCGCGUCUGAUUAGCUAGUUGGUGAGGUAACGGCUCACCAAGGCGACGAUCAGUAGCUGGUCNGAGAGGAUGAUCAGCCACAUUGGGACUGAGACACGGCCCAAACUCCUACGGGAGGCAGCAGUGGGGAAUAUUGGACAAUGGGCGCAAGCCUGAUCCAGCCAUGCCGCGUGAGUGAUGAAGGCCCUAGGGUUGUAAAGCUCUUUUGUGCGGGAAGAUAAUGACGGUACCGCAAGAAUAAGCCCCGGCUAACUUCGUGCCAGCCGCCGCCGUAAC
rnacentral:rRNA from 1 species